rnacentral:rRNA from 1 species
GACGAACGCUGGCGGCGUGCUUAACACAUGCAAGUCGAGCGGUAAGGCCCUUUCGGGGGUACGACGAGCGGCGAACGGGUGAGUAACACGUGGGUGACCUGCCCUUAGCUCUGGGAUAAGCCUGGGAAACUGGGUCUAAUACCGGAUAUGACUCCAUGACGCAUGUUGUGGGGUGGAAAGCCUUGUGCGGCUAGGGAUGGGCCCGCGGCCUAUCAGCUUGUUGGUGGGGUGAUGGCCACCAAGGCGACGACGGGUAGCCGGCCUGAGAGGGCGACCGGCCACACUGGGACUGAGACACGGCCCAGACUCCUACGGGAGGCAGCAGUGGGGAAUCUUGCGCAAUGGGCGAAAGCCUGACGCAGCGACGCCGCGUGAGGGAUGACGGCCU